UCUAGUGAGACUGCCGGUGACAAACCGGAGGAAGGUGGGGACGACGUCAGAUCAUCAUGCCCCUUAUGACCUGGGCUACACACGUGCUACAAUGGACGGUACAACGAGCAGCGAACUCGCGAGGGCAAGCUAAUCUCUUAAAACCGUUCUCAGUUCGGACUGCAGUCUGCAACUCGACUGCACGAAGUCGGAAUCGCUAGUAAUCGCG
rnacentral:rRNA from 1 species